rnacentral:rRNA from 1 species
AGUGAACGCUGGCGGUAGGCCUAACACAUGCAAGUCGAGCGGCAGCACAGUAAGAGCUUGCUCUUACGGGUGGCGAGUGGCGGACGGGUGAGGAAUACAUCGGGAUCUACUUUUUCGUGGGGGAUAACGUAGGGAAACUUACGCUAAUACCGCAUACGACCUACGGGUGAAAGCAGGGGAUCUUCGGACCUUGCGCGAUUGAAUGAGCCGAUGUCGGAUUAGCUAGUUGGCGGGGUAAAGGCCCACCAAGGCGACGAUCCGUAGCUGGUCUGAGAGGAUGAUCAGCCACACUGGAACUGAGACACGGUCCAGACUCCUACGGGAGGCAGCAGUGGGGAAUAUUGGACAAUGGGCGCAAGCCUGAUCCAGCCAUACCGCGUGGGUGAAGAAGGCCUUCGGGUUGUAAAGCCCUUUUGUUGGGAAAGAAAAGCAGCAGGUUAAUACCCCGCUGUUCUGACGGUACCCAAAGAAUAAGCACCGGCUAACUUCGUG